rnacentral:rRNA from 1 species
UACGUAGGGGGCAAGCGUUGUCCGGAUUCAUUGGGCGUAAAGAGCGUGUAGGCGGCCAGGUAGGUCGGUUGUGAAAACUGGAGGCUCAACCUUCAGACGUCGAUCGAAACCAUCUGGCUAGAGUCCGGGAGAGGAGAGUGGAAUUCCUGGUGUAGCGGUGAAAUGCGCAGAUAUCAGGAAGAACACCCGUGGCGAAGGCGGUUCUCUGGGCCUGUACUGACGCUGAGGAACGAAAGCGUGGGGAGCAAACAGG